UGCCUGGGAAAUGGAGUUCCCAGGUAGGCACAGCCCGAGGGCAGUCGGAAGGUCAGUAUAGGCUGCGCGGGCGCAGUCACAGUCAUCCCUCGGGGGGGAGAGGAUGCGCGCGCAGCGCCUCCAGCCCAAGCGGAAGUUUCCGCAGGGCAACUGAGAAGGACACUGUUAAGAUGGAGUUUCCAGCCCAGUGAAUCUGAGGGCCUGACCGUGACCCCACAAAGCAUGAUUUUCUGUCCAGACUGUGGCAAAAGUAUUGAAGCAACAUUCAAAUUCUGCCCCUACUGCGGAAAACCUGUGCCUACGGAGGAGCAUGUGGGGUCCCAGGCCUUUGUCAGACCUCUUAUGUCAUCCUUCCGAGGCUCAAGCAGAAAGAGGAGCACCAGUUCUGAAAUCUCUCCCAAGAAAGUGAAGUGGUCCAGCUGUGCUGCCUCUCCCAGGUCAUCCCUCCUCUCAGACGGUGACAGUUCCGGAUCUGAAGAUGCCUUGAGUAGCAGUGGGAAAACUAAAGGGUGCUGGAGCAGAUCCCCCACCCCGCAUAGCAGCCCUCAGACAACCAGGCGAAGCCCUCAGACCCUGAAGCGGAGCCGAGUGACCACCUCGCUCCAGGCUUUGCCAGCAGGGACGGUGCUGACGGACAAGAGUGGGCAUCACUGGAAGCUGGGAUCCCUCCAGACCAGGGACGACCAGGGCAUUCUCUAUGAAGCUGAGCCCGUCUACACCUUUGCCUGCCAGUCAAGCCCCCAGAAACAAAGAUUCUCGCUUAAACUAGAUGCCAAGGAUGGGCGCUUGUUCAAUGAACAGAACUUCUUCCAGCGGGCCGCCAAGCCUUUGCAAGUGAACAAGUGGAAAAAGCUGUACUCGACCCCGCAGCUGGCUAUCCCCACCUGCAUCGGUUUUGGCAUUCACCAGGACAGGUAUAGGUUCUUGGUGUUCCCCAUCCUGGGGAGGAGCCUUCAGUCGGUCCUGGAUGACUGCCCCAAACACGUGAUGUCAGUGAGGUCUGUGUUCCAGAUGGCCUGCCGGCUGCUGGAUGCCCUGGAGUUCCUCCAUGAGAAUGAGUAUGUUCACGGAAAUGUGACAGCUGAGAAUAUCUUUGUGAAUCCAGAGGACCAGUGCCAGGUGACCCUGGCAGGCUACGGCUUCACCUUCCGCUAUUCCCCAGGCGGCAGACACGUGGCCUACUCUGAAGGCAGCAGGAGCCCACACGAGGGGGACCUUGAGUUCAUUAGCAUGGACCUGCACAAGGGUUGCGGUUUCUUGACAACCCGGAGGGCCUCGUGGGACAGUGCAGUCGCUGGAUCAGUCCCUCAGAGACCCUGCAGGAGUACCUGAAGGUGGUGAUGGCCCUCAGGUACGAGGAGAAGCCGCCCUACACCGUGCUGAGGAACAGUCUGGAAGCCCUGCUGCAGGAUCUGCGGGUGUCAGCCUACGACCCCCUGGACCUCCAGAUGGUCCCAUAGGUGGGUUCCGGUGGGGAGAGUUGAACUUUCAGCCUGCAGUUUGAAAUAGAAAAAGAAAAAAAAAAGGAGACAUGUGACUCAAGGCCUGCUGUAGAAUCACAGAUAAGAUUCUAGAAAGAUCCCUCGAAUUUGCAUUCCUACCACUUCUUUAGGUGACACUACUCAUCUGUCUCAAUCAGUCUCAGGGAACCCAGCAGUUAGGCUUCGGAUAAUGUGAACUCCCUCCUUUCAACACGCCCACCCUUCAGCUGCUGUCUGCUGUCAGCCACUGGGGUUUUGGACCGAGAAGACCCUCAGUUCACAAUCAGGGGGGUGGGCUGGCCCCCUCAGUGAGGACCGUGCCGUUGACAUCCCUGUGCUUUGACAAUAAACUGUUUCGUUGGAGCUUGGAGGGUCGAGUGUCUGCAAAAGAAGUUCCUUUUGGAAAAAUUUAGCUCUUCUUUUCCCUAUCCAUUCAUCCAUCCAUCCAUCCCUUCAACCUUUCAUCCACCCAUCCACUCUUUCAUUCAUGUAGUCACACUUUCAGGCAGACACUCAUCCAUCCAUUCUUCCACUUCUUCAUCCAUCCAUCCAUCCACCCUCUCAUCUGUCCCUCUACCCAUUCACCCCUCCCUCCAUCCGUCCAUGUACUUGUCCAUCCAUCCCUCCACCCAUUCAUCCUUUCCUCCGUCCGUUCAUUUACCACUCAUUCUCCCACCCACUAACACUUCCUCUCUUCCAUACAUUUAUCCUUCCUUUUAUUCAACAAAUAGCAGGCAUUUCUGGAGUGCGUGCCCUAUGACACUUAUGGUGCUGCACAGAGGAUCCUGGCAAACCAAUCAUACAUAGCAAGGUCCUUGACCUUUUUGAGCCCACAGUCAAGUGGAAGGAGACAGUAUUAAAGGAGACGACUUGGGAUCAUGACCAGCACUCUGAAGAAAAAGCACAAACUGUGAUGGAGAGUGAGGGGCCUCAGGACGGGAGGGCGCCUUUGGGGAGAGCCCAGACACAGACAGACCAGGGAGGAGGCCGUAGGAUGGUAGCUGGAGAAAGGCAGGGCCUCAGGAGAGAUUUCAAAGGCAGGCUGGCCAGCAGCAGGUGACAAGUAACUAGGCUGGGAGGGAUUAAGAAGGAGGAGAAGAUAAACACACCUCCUCGAGUUUGACCUUGGAUAUCUUCAAUCAUCUAUCAUACUUUGGGAUGGGUAACCAGAAGCCGGAUAGGGGUAGAAACUGCUCUGAGAUGCCCUGAUUCUCUCCUUGCUCUGGGGAUGGAAGGAGAUUAGCAGACUGAUGAUCAUUUCCUGGAUGGAAAGGAGUAUUUCCAGAAGGAGAUAUUCCUUAAGAAGAGAGAAAACCCAUCAGAAAAUCUGUGUACAGCCCCUCUGUGUUCACGAGUCCACAAAAGAAGAGGGACGUCAGCCGCCCUGCAGACCCCCAAUCAAGCAAGAGGGAUGGUCACAGUCAACGCCUGCACCUCCCGAACGCUCGUCCCCCAGUCUCUGAAGGAGGAGGGUGCUGUCACUGGCACCAGACGAGACUCACAGGGCCCAGGGGAGUGGGAGUGACUCCCAGACCACCAUGCAGCUGACGGUGGCUGGACCCCAUCCUCUAUUCCAUUCCCCCCCAUCUCUGUUCCCAGCGUUAAUCAGAUGCUUGUGGUGCUGAUGCUGUAGGUGGGUUUUGGGGGGGUUUUAUCAUUUUUAUUGCAGGGCACCACAGAACCUUCAGGAAACUCAAGUGUGAGACACGUCUCCAAGAGGAGCCCCUGCAGGCAGCUGGAAAGGACAAAUCAUUUCCCUUCACCUGUGAAAUAGUUUUCCUGUGAAAAAGACUGGCUUCUAAGGCUAUUCAUUGCAAGUAAAAUCCAUUCCUCAGACCUCAGACACAGCAGCAAAUGUUUGUAGACUUUCUUACUGAUGAUAAAAAACAAAAUUCAACUCGGUACAUUUUUUUUUAAUUCUCUGUAGGGUUUUUUUGAGGGGGUAGGGGUAAUUAGAUUUGUUUGUUUAUUUUUUUAAUGGAGGUACUGGAGACUGAGCCCCGGACCUUGUGCGUGAUACCACUGAGCUACGCCCUCCCCACAGCUGAGUAUAUUUUAAAGAUCUUACUGGCAGCAUCCUGUCGAGCAGGUAGAAAGAUCUGAAGAUCUAUACAAAAUGAAAGACUUAGAGGCAGAAGGGAGCAGGAGUAAGAAAGUUCUAGUAGGCAAAAAAGCAGGUUGGUUAUUGCAAAGUUGCUUUCCCUUAGGGGAUGGCGGGGGUCUGGCAGGCAGAUGACUUAACUAGUUCUGAUCAGGCGACUCCUGAUCGAAGUGUUUCAGAUGUCUUUUCUGGGAGAGCCAAAACUGUCAUGAAGUCUUAGUUUGGUGAUGGUGGGACUUGGCAUAAACGACUCCAUGUUGGGCCUGUGGUCUUAUUUUUAAUACUGAGUUGGAAGUUAACGGGACAAGCAAUUUUGCUGCCUUGAUGGGGAGUCUACCAAUACAAACUGCGAUGGGUGUUUGUGAAAGAUGUUUAUUCAAAGUGAAAACACAGCAGGAACGAUGCCACGGGAGGCCUUGGCUGCCCUGACCAUUGCUACAUGCUGCUGUUCAAACUGCAUCUGAUGUCUUUUCUAUUGACACUGAAGGAGUUGUCAGGAAAUUUUCCUUUACUAUUUGAACUGAGCAGUUAGUCUUUUUAUGAUCUGUUGCCACUCAGUAUUCUUUAAUUCUCUCUCAUUCAGAACCUCAGUGGUUUGCAGUUUAUCAAGUCGAGAAGAACCCUCUGUUUGUUUAUUUUUUUUUUUGGAGUCCUGCAAUUAUUGGGUAUAGUUCCCUGUGCUAAACAGUAGGACCUCGUUGUUUAUCUCUUUUAUAUAUAUUGUAAUUAGUACCUGCAAGUUCCAGACUCCUAGUUUAUCGCUCCCACUCUUUCCCCUCUGGGAACCAUAAAUUUGUUUUCUAUGUC